rnacentral:lncRNA from 1 species
AUGAACAUAAAAGGAGCGAGCCAGAUUCCCAGCGCUGUCAGAGGGCUGGAAAAUCCCUGCCGCCGAGCAUCAGGGCCCUCCUCGCCCAUGCGCAGAGCCCGGCCCGCCCUGGGCGCAGCGCUCCCUGCCCCAGGUACUUCGACCCCCCUGCGCCAGGCCGAAUCCUGCCCCCGGUGCCGGGAACGGCCCAGCUCCACCUGCACCUCGCCGCCGUCCCCAGAAGGGACACGGGCGUCCCCCGCGGUGUUUGGGACAGGAGGAUGCUCCCGGCCGGCUCCCGGCCACUCCUGCAAGCCCCGGCUUGCUGCCCUCGGGGCUGGGAAGGAGCGUGGCUGCGUGGGUUUGGAGGCAGGAGCUGGGAGAGGUUUUCGCACGGCUGCCCGGGGAGGGGGAGCGCGGCAGGCUGUGUCCCGGCACGCCCAGCCCACGCCAGCACCACGCCAGGAAGCCCCUCCUGCAGAUGCCAGCUCAGCCGGGCUCGGGGCUCGGCCAGGAGCUGCUCUGGCCUUCCCGUUUCCUGCCCCCUGGGCUAAAGCUCCUGCCCUGGUUUCCUUCCUCCCCUCUCCGCCCAGCCAGGCCUUUGUUCCCCGCACCUUCGGGUGCCACCGGGCGGCCUCCCUGCAGGGCUCCGCAUCUCACCAGCAAGGUGAGCCCGGCACAAGCAGCAUCCCUCUCACCCGCAGCACCCAGGCCUCUCCUCUUCCCCACUGGCACGCUCCAGGACAUGCCACGCAGCACCCGCUGCUGCCCCUACCUCAGCCCUGCCACCAGCCCACGGAUCCGCUCCUUGGGGACACCUCGCAGCCGAGGCAUCAGGACCCCACAGAGCCACCAGCACGCUCCAGGCGGUACCUUCAGGGCCGGGAGCAGCUCCGGGGUGCAGAGCAGUGCACAGGGUCACGCCGCCCCAUCAGACAGCACCCGCCACCCUGCGACACAGCCCAGCAUCGCCACAGGGCCCCCCCGAAGCUGGCUGUGUCCCCUGGGAACGUCCUCAUUGCUCCUCACCCCGCCACUGCCCAGCCCCAGGCUCCUCAGGAGCCGCUUGCGGCCCCAGCGCCUCCGCCCUGGGCCCCACGCACCGCUCUGCCCUGCCCUGCCUUUCCCGAGCCCCUGCAGCGGGGCUGGCCUGCGCGCACAUCGCCUCUUGCUUCACAAGGCCCCUGCCCUAGGCCCUCGGAGGCUCCUCCGUCUGAUCAGACCCUUUGUUAA